AAGUUACAACUUUGUACAGUCUGUGCUGCCAGCGUCCGGGUCUAUCUCGGAUCCAGUCUGGUGCCCCGGCGCCCACCCGGGAUGGCCCCGCGGGCCCCGUCUCAGCCGCCUUUGCAGUGGCUCGCGGGUCUAUCUCGGAGCCCGCGCUGCGCUCCCAGCCCCGGACGCUGGGCCGGCAGCCGGGGGCGCGGAUCUUUCCAUCCGCCUACCGCCGCUCUCCUCCCUCCUCUCCUCCGCGUUCCGGGCCGGGCUGACACCGGGGUGGGCGGAGCCGAGAGCUUGCUCAGAGCGGGGAGAGGCUGGCGCCUCUUAAGGUGGAACAGACCCAUCGCUGGGCCUCCCUGGGUGUGCGACUCCCGCCCCAGCCUCGCUCUAAACGCUCGCUCUCGUCUCCCUAGCGAGCCUCGGUUCUCUACAUAGUUUAGAAAUUAAUCAGGAUGUAAAAUGAACGCAUAAACUGAAAAAGAAAAAAAAGUCAAGAAGAUGCAAACUACUCAGAGAACUUUUAUUAUACUUGUGUUCUUUAUUCCAGGGACUACAAUCUUUAAGUGGUAGGUUUUUUUGUUUGUUUGUUUUUUUCCUUCCUCUUUCGGAUGUUCAAAUAAGAACUCACAUUUUGCCUGAUGAACAUGAUACACAUGAGUCAUUUGUAUGCCGGUUUAGUGACACCGCCCCCCCACCCCUAACAUGGACGACAAAUAUACUAAGGGAAGCAGAAACCUGGAGCCUGGUGGCUAUAGGCUGCCUCUUAUAGUUGGCCAAUGAUUCGUAGAGGGAGCUAAAGAGCAGAGGUGCUGCUAUCUCAACGCCUUUGUAAAAUGGAUGAAAAUCUGCUGCUUUCUGGAUUUGGUUUGACGCAGAAUUGUUCCUGUAUAAAGGAAAAGCAGGGACAAAAACGGGGCAGAGACUGAAGAAAGGCUAUCCCAUGACCGGCCCAACUUGGGAUCCAUCCCACGCACAGGCACCAAACCCGGAUACAAUUACUGAUGCCAUGUUGUGCUUGCAGCCUAGCAUAGCUGUCUUCUGAAAGGUUCUACCAACAGCUGACUGAAUCAGAUGCAGAUACUUACAGCCAACCAUUGGACUGAGUUCGAGACCCCUAUGGAAAGGAUUGAAGGAGCUGAAGAGUAUGGCAACCCCAUAGGAAGACCAACAGUAUUAACUAACGGGGACUCCUGGGAGGUCCUAGAGACUAAGCCACCAACCAAAGAGCAUACACGGGCUGAUCCGUGGCCCUGCACAUAUGUAACACAGGACUGACUGCCUUGUCUGGGCUCAGUGGGAGAGGAUGCACCUACUCCUUAGAGACUUGAUACCCCAGGAAGGGGAAUGCUGGGAUGUGUGUGUACCUUCCCAGAGGCGAAGGGGAGGGAGGAUGGGGUGAAGAACUCUGGAAAGAGGGACCAGGAAGGGGGGCAACAUUUGGAAUGUAAAUGAAAUAAUAACAACAAUUAAAAAGGAUGUAGUGUAAAUUAAAGAUACUAGGUAACGAUACAUACACAAAACAUGAUAGCAAACAUUUUACUAUUUCUUUUUAAUUUUUUUAAAAGCUCUGUUGUAAAAUUUCAAACACAAAAGUAGAGAGAAUGACAAUGACAUCUUAUAUUUUUAUCUUAUUAAUAUCUAUCGUGUAUGUGUGUAUAUAUAUAUAUCCGCAUUACAUGCAUGUAGGAGCCAGGAGAGGUCAGAAGAGGGAGUUAGUCUCCUGCAACUGGGAGUUACAGCCAGUUGUGAACAGUGGACAGCAGGGCUCGAAUGUAAAUGGGGACCUCUGUUAGAGCAGCAAGUGCUCUUAAUCUCUGAGCCAUCUCUCCAGCUCUAACUUUAUUUUCACUCUUGUACAUGCAUGUGAGCAUGACACGGAAUAGUACACAUGUGACUACAUGUGCCCUCAGCACCCAGGGGAGAGAAUCCAGAUCUCCUGGAGCUUGAGUCACAGGUGGUGGUGGUAGAGGCUGGACUUGCGUGUCCAAUUGGGUCCUCUGCAAGAGCUGAAAUCUUAGCUAUCUCUUUAGCCUGAGAACAACAUGUAUGCUUAAAUGUUGCAAUAAGCAAUAUUUGGCCAAUAUUUUGCCACCUCUACUUUCCUCCUGGUCACUUGAUUAUUUUGAGACAAAUUUCAGACAUUUCAUGCUUAAGUCACUCUAAUACACAUUUUUAAAUAUCCCUUAAAAAUAAUGGAAUUUCAUUAAUCCACCUUUGUUUGUUUUUCAAGGCAGGGUUUCUCUGUGUAGCCUUGGUUGUCCUGAAACUCACUCUGUAGACCAGACUGGCCUCGAACUUAUAACAUCUGUGUGUACUUCUGCCUCCUGAGUGCUGGGAUUAAAGACUUAGACACCACCA